UACGUAGGGGGCAAGCGUUGUCCGGAAUCAUUGGGCGUAAAGCGUGUGUAGGCGGGUUGGUAAGUACCUUGUGAAAUCCCACGGCUUAACCGUGGAAAUGCUUGGUAUACUGCCGAUCUUGAGUCAUUUAGGGGCAGCCGGAACAGAUGGUGGAGCGGUGAAAUGCGUAGAUAUCAUCUGGAACGCCAAUGGUGCAGACAGGCUGCUGGGAAUGAACUGACGCUGAGGCACGAAAGCCAGGGGAGCGAACGGG
rnacentral:rRNA from 1 species